GAUGAAGAACGCAGCGAAAUGCGAUAAGUAAUGUGAAUUGCAGAAUUCAGUGAAUCAUCGAAUCUUUGAACGCACAUUGCGCCCCCUGGUAUUCCGGGGGGCAUGCCUGUUCGAGCGUCAUUUCACCACUCAAGCCUCGCUUUGUAUUGGGCAACGCGGUCCGCCGCGUGCCUCAAAUCGACCGGCUGGGUCUUCUGUCCCCUAAGCGUUGUGGAAACUAUUCGCUAAAGGGUGUUCGGGAGGCUACGCCGUAAAACAACCCCAUUUCUAAGGUUGACCUCGGAUCAGGUAGGGAUACCCGCUGAACUUAAGCAUAUCAAUAAGCGGAGGA
rnacentral:misc_RNA from 1 species